GAGGGGAGAGGAAUAAAGAAAGCGCCAGUGUUGUCUUGCCGGUCGCUGGGGGAGAGCUGGAAAUUUUAGGCGCGAUGGAGAGUGUCGCAGACGAGCACGGCGAUCGAUCGCUCUCGAGCUUCUUGCAUGCUGAUCGGCUCGCCGCAGCUCAGGAGGAGAGUUUGGAGAAGGAUUCCGAGGACGAGAGGAAAGGGAAGACCAAAAUGGCGGCCUUGAAAGCGAUCGCCUCCAAGAAAUUUAGAUCUUCUCUCAAGAGAAGGGGGAAGAGGCGGCCGGACGCGAGGAGUCAAUCCCUCUCGAUUGAGGACAUUCGCGACGCGGAAGAGGAGACGUCGGUGGAAGCGUUUCGAGCAGCGUUGGCAGUGGAGAAUCUUCUUCCGGCCGACCACGAUGAUUACUAUACUCUUUUGAGAUUUUUGAAAGCCAGGAAGUUCGAUCUGGAGAAGGCCAAGCAAAUGUGGGCCGAUAUGCUGCAAUGGCGCAGGGAAAACGGUGUCGAUACGAUUGAAGAGGAUUUCCAUUUUAAAGAGCUGGAGGAAGUGAGGAAAUACUAUCCACAGGGCCACCAUGGAGUGGACAAAGAAGGAAGGCCUGUAUAUAUUGAGAGGAUCGGGAAGGUCGAACCCAACAAGCUGAUGCAAGUCACAACGCUUGAAAGAUAUUUGAAGUAUCACGUGCUUGAGUUCGAGAGGACCAUUAAGAAAAAGUUUCCUGCCUGCUCAGCGGCUGCUAAGCGGCACAUCGACUCCACAACAACAAUUUUGGACGUAGCUGGAGUGAGCUUAAAAAACUUCAGCAAGCCUGCAAGGGACCUUAUUAUCAAUAUUCAAAAGAUUGACGGCGAUAACUAUCCCGAGACAUUGCAUCGUAUGUUUAUUAUAAAUGCUGGUCCUGGAUUUAAGCUUGUGUGGAACACCAUACGGGGAUUUUUAGAUCCGAAAACAGCUACCAAAAUAUCUGUACUCGGAAACAAAUUUCGCAGCAAGCUUCUGGAAGUUAUUGAUGCUAGUCAGCUUCCUGACUUUUUGGGUGGAACUUGCACUUGCUCUGGGGAUGGUGGAUGUCUUCGUUCUGAUAAAGGCCCCUGGAAGGAUCCUGCCAUACUGAAGGCUGUAAUGGAGGGGCAUGUGAAGUUCGUAAGGCACGUUGUAACUUCUCCUAAACGAAAUAAUUUGCCUAGGGGAAAGAGUCAUGAUCUUGAUGUUUCAACAGCGGAGUCCGGAUCAGAUGGAGAAUUAACAUCCCCCACAAGAACACGCUCUUGCGAUGUUCUAAAAGCGGUGUCGGAAGAGGUGACUAGCAAGCCUGUAGACAAUUCAGAUUUGUUGGAGAGUUUUUCGAUACUGGAGGAUGGUGAUGUAGUUCCGAUGGUUGAUAAAGUGGUUGACAACGGCUAUGUGAAGGAGAGUAACCGGAUCACGAAGACAGAACUAUCCUCAAAGAACGAAACAAGGACCUUUCUACAUUUUUGGGCUGCAGUAGCGUACAUUUCUUUUUUCUUUCAGUGGGUGUGGAGCUACAUCUGGAGAGCGUUCUCGCGCAAUAACGAAGAGCUCUAUGGUUUCAACAAGACGCAAAAUCAAGAGCCUAGUAUUACGGAUGCUAGAGUGGUUUAUGCUGUCCCUUCACCAGAGCUUGUGGACAAAAUCAUCUCGCCAAAACUCAAAAAACGCAUGGACAAGCUAGAAGAGAAAGUCACCGAGCUGUCGAAAAGUAAACAGCCUCCGGAAGAGAUACCUGAUGCUGCUGCGGAACGAAUUAAGACACUUGAAGCAGAAGUAGCGGAGGCAAGAAAAGCGCUCAAGGCUGUCCAGGAAGAACUCUACAAUUGCUUAGAGCAGCUGAAUGAAUUUAGGUGGCUGAGACGACCGAGGUGGUGUUGAGCUCGUAUAUAUUGAGCGUAUAUAUUCUCUUGUAAGAAAGGCACACUUAUGUCCAUAAGAAGUAAUUUAAGCUUCCUGUCCACUCUGCGACAGAAGCUUAAACAUUCAGAAGCAGUAAAAAGCCCUGAAUUAACCCCUCGAAACAGUUACUUAGGCAAUGAUUGGAACUACAAACCCAGCUUGAGGUACUUCAGCUGCGUAGGCGUAAUUUUAUGAUCCUCCACAGCGGUGCAGAAAGCCACAAGCUGACUGCAUAACUACCAGGAACGCAUUUAGUUUUCAAGUAGUGUUCAGGCCGUGCGCAUUUACUGCCUCAAAGGAAUGCAUUCAAACAGUAAAAUGUCGCCAGACAAUGAGGUAAUAGCCAUCUGGAACUGCAUCCGGAGGAUCUCCAAUCGUGAGGACGUUUUUGAGCGCUAUGAGGUACUUUGGCAGCGGGAGCUCCUGCGAACGCUUGUUCUCCACCUCCGCCAAGAGAUCUUCCCGGUCCAUGUUCGCUGCUGCCUUGAGCUCCUGCCUCUCCGACUCCGGCCACUCCCAAGCAUGCGGUGCAGGCCUCAACGAUGAUUUGGAACUUGAGCUUGUGCUCCUUCUUGAGCACGGCGUGCCAGAGCCAGUCGGGGCUGGAGCAGCGGUGGAGUAAAAACUGUGCGCGGUCCAUGACUCUGUCAAUCUGGGCGAUGGUCGGCUUGCAGUCCUCCAGGAGCCCCGGUUCGAAGUCGAUCAUAUCCAGCAGAUCCUCUUGGCCUUGUUUAGGACCGGAGGCAAGCUUGCGACGACCACUACUUCGCUGCCCAUGUCCACUCAAUGCUUGGUAGACUCCCUGCUCUUUCACGUAUAAAUUCCCACUCGCUCGAACAAGAUACAAGCUUGAAACGCGUCGAGAGGAUGCGUGUGGAGCACAUCUUGCGGGACGAAGUUUCUUAGUGCGCCCCUCGUCGUGGCAUGGCUGAAAGUUCUUCGUCGUCUUGGAUUCUUCUGAAUCUUCUCCUACUAGCGUCAGAAACUUCGAAAAUUCGUCCAUUGUUUGUACCUUGUGUCCUAAAACUUAGCCUUUUCGAAUUAAAAGAAAAAGGUGGUAAAAAAUGAAAGAAUUUA